rnacentral:lncRNA from 1 species
GACAGGUGGAGGUUGGGGAGCCACAUGACUGACCCUCCCUGUGCCUCCAGGGAGGGCUGCUCUGAGCAGGCAGUGGAUGGCAGCAAAAGGAAUCUGGGGCCCUGGCCCCUCUCCAGCCUUAAGAAGAGCCAUUCUGGUGGCUGAGGACAGAACUAAGCGACCAUGGAGUGUGCGCCACUGGCUUGCUCCCCACAGGUCUCCAACUACCUCAACUGGAUGGUGAGGAACCUGGCAGACAUGGAGCUCCAGCUGGGGGCUGUGAAGCGCAUCCAUGGGCUCCUGAAAACCGAGGCAGAGAGCUACGAGGGGCUCCUGGGUGAGAGGCUCAGGGAGAGGGGUGGGGAAGAGUCCAAGGAGGAGUGUGUCUGGGUUGGGGGCCACAAGGGAGCCUGGGGAUGGGGUGGCACUUUCGGAUACUAGCUGUGGCCCAUGCCUGGUGGCUGAGCCCAGCCCGGCCCCCAGCACCAUCGCUGAUCCCAAAGAACUGGCCAGACCAAGGGAAGAUCCAGAUCCAGAACCUGAGCGUGCGCUACGACAGCUCCCUGAAGCCGGUGCUGAAGCACGUCAAUGCCCUCAUCGCCCCUGGACAGAAGAUCGGGAUCUGCGGCCGC